UACGAAGGGGUGCAAGCGUUACUCGGAAUUACUGGGCGUAAAGCGUGCGUAGGUGGUUUGUUAAGUCUGAUGUGAAAGCCCUGGGCUCAACCUGGGAAUUGCAUUAGGAUACUGGCAGGCUAGAGUGCGGUAGAGGAUGGCGGAAUUCCCGGUGUAGCAGUGAAAUGCGUAGAGAUCGGGAGGAACAUCUGUGGCGGAAGGCGGCCAUCUGGACCGCACUGACACUGGAGGCACGGAAAGCGAUGGGGAGCAAACACGG
rnacentral:rRNA from 1 species